rnacentral:lncRNA from 1 species
GGAGGAGGUAGAGCGAGCCAGGAACGGAGAAGCACCCCGCUCCGCUCUGCGCUCCCCUUUCCAGGGCGAGCAGAAGGUGCUGCGCAGGCUCCGGCUGCCCGCGCCCCCGGGGCACAGAGGCCGGCGAGGGGGGCAGCCGAAGGCCUGGAUCGCCUGGCCCGCGCUUUCCGGGGAGCCAUCGAAGGCUCCAAGGCCUCACCCGCCGCGAUGCCAACUUUCUAGAAAAGGCCGCGUCCCGGCCUCCCUGAGCUGGGGCGCCGUCUCCUCGGGGCUCGCUCCACCUUUGAGCAGCUUCAGGAGGGCAAGAAAGGUCAGACCGGGCGGAACGGCGGCGCCAGCGCCACCCAGGCCCUACUGGGCACCCGGAAGUGUCCGCCCUGCCUCUCAUCCCUGUCCCUCCGCCUUCCUUACUCCGGCGUUACCUGCGAAGACCCGGGCUCGGGUGGAAUCAGACGAGUCUUCGGGAUUUCUUCGAGAACAUUCUAGAGAGAAGGCAAAAUUCACCUCUGAAUUUGGCUCGAAGAUUUAGAGCAGGAGAGGUGGCGGGACAGGAAGGUGCCAAAUAAUGCGCGUCUAGAAAGAACGAGGGUGCGCGUCCUGGUGGCGGCCUGGAGAACUAAGCGCUCUUUCUUCCCAACCUGGGACUGCGCCGGAACCAGGUCACACUGCGAGCGUCGCCAGCUCGGUGCCUGCGGCUCCAGCUGGCCCACCCUCCCCGCCAGGCCACCGGCCAGAACAAAAGGCGCGGCCGGACUUCCAGGAGGAGCAUGGGCCUGCGAGUGACCAGCGAAACGAUCCGAGUGCGAGGCGCACCCGCCCGCGCGCUCCAGCCACACCCACCCACCCCGACUUCGAAAUUAGGAAGCCCAAUUCGGCACCCCGAUUAUGGCUGUGAAUGUCCCGAGUGACCCCCAAAUCCGUGCCCCGCCGUCUCCGAGCCUCCCUGGCGUCUCCUGGGGCGCGGGGCGUCGGGGGCGCGGAGGCCCGAGGUCGGGACGCACGCCAAGGCCCUUCUCCCCCCGCAUCUCCUCUUUCUUUCCCUUUCUCUCCUCCCUUCGGAAUCUCUGUCCUCUGCUUGCUCCAGUCCCCACAGGAAGAGGACUGGGAACGCAGCGAUUACAAGGCGACGUGCCUUCUCCCCCGUCCCGGACACGCCGGCCCUGGGCUCGCCAAGGGGAAGGGUCCGUUCAGCUUGUUACCGAGCCGCCCGGACUGAAGCGAAGGGCGCGGGAGCCGGGGCGUCCCGGGGGCGACCCCGCGGGCCCUAGCUCUUUCGGCGAUGGGCGUGAGCCGGGUGAGGUCCCCGUGAGCAAAGUGCAUUUGGAUGGGGGCGCUGGAGCGCGCGGCUCGGCUUGUUGGCUUGUUCGCGCGUUGUCGCCAGCGCCGUGUUUCUUGUCCCUGGCGCCAGCUCGGUGCCAUCCCAGUGAGUUUGAUUGAAACACGGCUGCAAGAAGGUGUCGAGCAGGGAACGCGGCUUGCAAGGCGGGAGGGGCGAGUAAAGGGACCCGGAGAGGCUCUGGAAGGCAGCGGCAGGUCACGCCGCGCGGCGCUGCUCGGGGACUGCUAUUUUGAAACCGGGUUGCUGUCCCCUCCAGGGCGCAGGAUGCAAGGGUCAAGUGUCACUUCCUCUGGCAGUCAAUCUCCAAUAUUCCUUGUAAUGUUCCUAAAUGGACGAAUUCAUUACGCGCGGACAUGUGAAUGGGGGGAGGCCGCCGGCGCGCCUGGUCAAUAGCGUCCACUAAUCGUUCAUUUUGCACUGCGGAGCGCGGGCCCUUGGAACCAAAGGAGGAGCCUAAUCAAUAUUGUUUACUUCCUCGCCGCUGCCGGCGUAAAGGUCACUUAGGGAAGGCGGGAAAGUGCAGGCACCCGACAGGUCCUAAUUGUCUCCCUGCUUUUCCCUGGGUCGGUUUCCCCUCGGACCUCCUCCACCCUCUGUCCGCCUUUCAAACGCAGUCUCGGCCGCUGCGGCGCGGUGGAGGGACCCGUCUCCGCCACAGCCGCUGCACGUCCCCGGUCCCCGUGCACACGCGCCCCCGGGCGCGCACAAGGCGCCCACUCUCGGAUCCACGUGCUGGCGGCCAAGGCGGCGGGAUUCAACCCAGUCUCACAGCGGCGGCGGCGUUUCAAAGGGUGUGGGGAGGGGGAGUUGCUUUUUAAGCAGGGGGCUUAGCUGAAAGGAAAGCUCCGGGGUGAGCCGGGCCCCCGACUCUCCCUGAAAUUUUUAAGAGGAAGCGCUGAGUAAAAUUAAAAGGAAACCGCGUCUGGAUCCUCCCUGCUGGGCCACCCCCUUCCGUCCCCAACCCCACCAGGAUCAGAGAGGGCCGGGAGUGGGAGCACACAGGACUUCACGAUGCCCUCACACAGCACCCAGAGAUCCCUGGGAGGAGAUUCAAAAUUAUCCAGGAAAGAAUGGGGGUGGGAGGGGGAGAGCCUGCCCUGGCUCAGCCGUGGCCAGGGCUUCCCCAAGGCGGUCCUAGACCUCAGAGAGGGAAGCUUCUCCUGGUACGUUUAAAGCAGUGUUGGCAACAGAGCACAUGGUUGAACAAAUUCCCUGUUGACCUGCUGGAUUCCUGGUGAAAAGUAGUGACUGUCCCCUAGAAGCCCCCCAUCCCUGCCCACCUCAAAACCAGAAAGCUGUGUCUCCCGUUCCUUCCCUUCCUGGGCUUCCCAGAGGAAGGAGACGGAGGCAGAGGGGGCUCCAUAGACUCGAGCUGCCAGGGGACCUUGAACGGUUAUCUGCCCCACUGAAAUCUAUGUAGCUCGGGUUAUACGUGGCCGCCUUCACACACGUGUUUCCUAAAGGAGAUGUGCGGAUGCGAUAAAGGACAGACUAGAGACAAAUCCUGCUGGGCUGAAGAGAGACGUGAGUGGCUCAGGUUACCCCAGGGGGUGCGGCGGCAGCGGGCACUGCUUCUGGGAGUUGACAGUGGGGCUGGGGGAAGAGAGGGUCCUUGGUGUGCUUUCUGCAAGCAAUGGAAGGGGCAGCCCUUGGUUCCCUUGUGCUGUUGCUGACAGAACUGAGACCCAGACGUAGGUAGGCGGCAUCUUUGCUUCCUUCAGACAUGGGAGGAUAAAGCAGAGAGGAAGUAAGCGGCACACCAGUUAAGACAGUUGUUACGUGGUUGUCGUGGAGGUUUUGCGUUUCCAUCGCUCUAAGUGUUAGAUGCAUCUAUUCCCCCCAAAGGCCCUUUUUAAAAAGUUAGCUGUGAAGAUGUGGGAAUACUGGUUCUUUAAGAGGGACUCCUUCUGGGUUUAUGGUCAGAUGGCUCCUCUUCCCUCACAUGCGAGUGUUAGUUUGAGCAGGGUGCUUUCACCUGUUUGCAAUUUGAUUUGCCUGGAAAUGCGCCUCUCUGGAGAAGGCACAGGUUUCCCUGGCUCCAUUUCCAAUGGUGUGCAGGUCAUAAAUGAGGUUAUUUCCAAACCUAUUUGUAUUCUCUGUCAUUUGGUUGCACUCGGUGAAGAAAGGAGCAAUUGGCUUCAUUUACGAAAGUGGCAGGUAUAAAUAGGAAAAUGAGAAAUAAUGCGACGAAGCUAAACCAUUUGCCAAAUCAAACCCUGAACUUCUUCACAAAAUUCCAAACUACUAUUUGUUCGAUCUUCGAUUACAAUAUUAAAAAGGACCGGGGGACUUUGGUGCCAGUAUUCUCUAUAAGGCAAGCCCUUUUACACUUUCCCACAAAAUACAUUCUUUUUCUUGAAUUGUCUCUAAUCAAGCUACCCAAAAAUAUGAAGGCUGUGUCCUCCUUGUCCUGCUUCCUGUACCAAAACCCUCUAAGGUCAAGCACUGGCUUUUUAUUUAUACACACGAAAAUUUCUUCUAAGAAUGGAGUUUUCAUACACAAUGUGUCUGGACACGAAGCAAAUGUUGUUUUAGGGGAAGGUUCUACUAACAGCCCCACUUAUGCAAAAGCACAUGAGAGCGGAAAGGAUAAUUUCUGUUAGUUAACAUCUUGGAGCAAGAAAAUUAAAAACAAAUAUUUAACUUCCCAAUUUGGAAUUUGGGCUGGCACCUGACUGUGAAACUUCUACAAAUGCAUACUCAAUGAGUUAAAUGCAGUCUUUCCAAGCCAAAUAAAACCGCCUUCAUGUGGUUCAAAAAUAAGAUGGAAUAAACUGAAAGAUAAAUAAAAUGCGUGGAGACGCCCGGGGAGAGAGCUGAUGGGUGUGAACUUGCCCAGAGACAGCGUUUGGACUCUGCUCAAUGCCUGGGUUGAAGACGCUCAAUAAAGCUCCAUUUAGAGACGAUCAAGGGGAAAUAAACACACGUAUCUACAAACA